rnacentral:misc_RNA from 1 species
GAAAUGCGAUAUGUAAUGUGAAUUGCAGAAUUCAGUGAAUCAUCAAAUCUUUGAACGCACAUUGCGCUCCUUGGUAUUCCGGGGAGCACACCUGUUUGAGUAUCAAUAAUCUCUCACAUCUUAUUGAUAUGCUUAAUUUCAACGUCAAAAGCUCCUUUGAAAAAGGGACAGCUUGUUUGAGAUGAUAGAAUAAGUCUAGAACUUUUUUACUUUCAAGCGCUGUGGCUGUUCCAUAUUUUUUCAUUUUGAGUCUCUUUGAUUCCUUUUAUUAUUACUUACGAUUGUUUACAAUUGUUAACAGUCGUUUGAAAACUUGGUCUCAAAUCAGGUGGGAAAACCCGCUGAACUUAA